rfam:Tolumonas auensis DSM 9187, complete genome.
GUUGUCGGGCCUGCAUCGCUGAUUCGUCAGCCGUUGCCAGCAGCCAAGGUCGUGCAGGCUGCGUCGCGGACCCUCCGCGCCGACCGUCCUUGUCCGCAUCGCAUCGUGCCGCGGACACGCGCCCAUCCCGGGCGUCGAUGC